rnacentral:tRNA from 1 species
GGAUGCUUAGCUCAGCGGGAGAGCAUCGCCCUUACAAGGCGGGGGUCGCAGGUUCGAACCCUGCAGCAUCCACCA